GAGUUGCGCCGGCGGUGGGCGGAGUUCCGUCCGCGUCGGUGAUGGGCGGACCGGCGUCGGAGGGUAAUGGGGGUGCUGGUGAGCCCUGGAGGCGAAUUCCAGAGCGGAGGCCAGCAUGGGGAGACAGUCCCAGAGCAGCAGCCAGCGUGGGGAUACAGUCCCGGGCAGAGGCCGGCAUGGAGAAGUAGUCCUGGUGCUGUGGCCAGCGUGGGGAGCAAGUCCCAGGUGAGGCCGGUGAAGGGAAGGAGUCCCGGAAGAAACUUACCUUGGAGCAGCUGACAGCCAGUGUGGAGUGGACUGGAGGCUUGGAGCAGAGUGGGGACAAUUGUUGGACUAGCGUCUGGCGUGGGUGGUCAAACCAUGUGUGUAGCUUAGCCCCUGUGCUGAGCUACUGCAAUGAAAUGUUUAUUUGUAACUUGUUCAUCUGACUGUAAUGUCAAUCCUUUAACUAUGUCUUAUUUCUAACUUAUUCUUUAAAUAUUGUAAAGUAAUGCAAGUACUUUUUGUUUUUAUUCCUCUUUUGUAUCUAAGAUUUGAACCUAGGUACUCUGUGAUUCUACUUCUACCUAGAUGACGCCAUAAGAGGUGACAUUGUAAAACUUUUCACUGUACUCCUGUACUUCUGUACUUGAGUAUAUGUGCCAAUGAAGGAUAUUCUGAGUCUA